ACCCAAUGACGUCUCUAGAAGACAUCUGAAGGAGAUUAAAGAUUUAUCGGUGAUGGAUGGGGAUGCGUCUGAUUAGCUUGUUGGCGGGGUAACGGCCCACCAAGGCGACGAUCAGUAGGGGUUCUGAGAGGAAGGUCCCCCACAUUGGAACUGAGACACGGUCCAAACUCCUACGGGAGGCAGCAGUGAGGAAUAUUGGUCAAUGGACGAGAGUCUGAACCAGCCAAGUAGCGUGCAGGAUGACGGCCCUAUGGGUUGUAAACUGCUUUUAUAAGGGAAUAAAGUGAGUCUCGUGAGACUUUUUGCAUGUACCUUAUGAAUAAGGACCGGCUAAUUCCGUGCCAGCAGCCGCGGUAAUACGGAAGGUCCGGGCGUUAUCCGGAUUUAUUGGGUUUAAAGGGAGCGUAGGCCGGAGAUUAAGCGUGUUGUGAAAUGUAGACGCUCAACGUCUGCACUGCAGCGCGAACUGGUUUCCUUGAGUACGCACAAAGUGGGCGGAAUUCGUGGUGUAGCGGUGAAAUGCUUAGAUAUCACGAGGAACUCCGAUUGCGAAGGCAGCUCACUGGAGCGCAACUGACGCUGAAGCUCGAAAGUGCGGGUAUCGAACAGGAUUAGAUACCCUGGUAGUCCGCACGGUAAACGAUGGAUGCCCGCUGUUGGUCUGAACAGGUCAGCGGCCAAGCGAAAGCAUUAAGCAUCCCACCUGGGGAGUA
rnacentral:rRNA from 1 species